UACGUAGGGUGCGAGCGUUUGUCCGGAAUUACUGGGCGUAAAGAGCUUGUAGGUGGUUUUGUCGCGUUUGUUCGUGAAAUCUCACGGCUUAACUGUGAGCGUGCGGGCGAUACGGGCAGACUAGAGUACUGCAGGGGGAGACUGGAAUUCCUGGUGUAGCGGUGAAAUGCGCAGAUAUCAGGAAGAACACCAAUGGCGAAGGCAGCUCUCUGGGACGGUACUGACGCUGAGACGCGAAAGCGUGGGGAGCGAACAGG
rnacentral:rRNA from 1 species